rnacentral:lncRNA from 1 species
UUAAACUUGUGAUUGUUUUCUCACAUGGUAGAGAUGAAGCUCAAGGUUCAUCUCAAGGCAGCGGGAUGACAAGGGGUGUAGAAGAUACAGGCUGCGUUUUGCUCUCCUCAAGAAACACAUGAAGAGGGCAGCCACUUUUAUCUGUCAAGACUGUUUUUUAAGGUUCAUGCUUGUGGCCUCUUUCAGACCCUCCAAUACCUUUCCCAUUUCCUACCCUGUUUCAUAGAAUCAUAGAAUAUCUUGCAUUGGAAGGGACUCACAAGGAUCACUGAGUGCAAACCCUGGCUCCACACAGCACCACCCAAACCGUAUGUCUGAGAGUGAUGUCCCAAUACUUCCUGAGCUCCAGCAGCUUGGGGCUGUGUCUGCUCAUUGGGCUGACUGUUCUGUGCCCUCUGGGGCAAAAUCUUUCGUGUGCCAUUACCUCAGACCCUGCUGCUCUCACAGAGAGCAGAACUGAGUGCUGCCCCUCUGUGUCAUGUGAGGAGCUGCAGGCCACAAUGAGGCCUACGCUCAGCCUGCUCUGCUCUGGGCCCAACAGACUCAGUGGCCUCAGCUGCUCUUUUCCAUCCUUGUAGCCCUCUCUAGCCCACUUUGAGCUUGGAUGUAAAGCACAGGAGAGCUGUGAUGCUAUAGCCCACAGGUUUUACUCCCAGUGCCAGGAUCUCCAGGGGGACAGACUGCUCACCCUUGGAACACUCUGUGUUAUCUCCCAGCUGAGAGAGCACUCCUUUGAGAUGUAAGGUUUAUCGGGAAAGAAAAAAAAAAAUCAUUUUAAACAUUUAAAUGUUCUCAGACUGUGCAAUCCCUUGAGCACGUUGGAAGGAAAGUAAUUCCUCAGAUCUGCAGGGUGCCUCACUUCUAUUGCUCCCACUGCCCCAGUAGGGUUGGAGAGCUUGUGUAAGCCAGGAGGGACCACAGAAAUACCUGGUCUGUGUGAUCUUUGCAGAAAAAUCCUCUCCAGAGUGCCUUCCUAUAGGGCAUGGGAGGCUAAUGUUGACCCUCUGAGAAAACCAGGAUCUGCUUAGGUGUGCACUGAGUAGUUGGGUGAAGGGAGCGCCUUAACAUGCAAUCUGUAAUUCCUAGGGGAGCACAUCUCCUCUCCUUAGACAUAAAUCACUUUUUUUUCCUCUUUUUCUAUUUUUUUUUCUUUUUGCAUUAGUUGAAUGUAUAAUUUAUUUAAGUUAUCAAACAUGAGGACAAGACAUUUGUGAUCCAUUCUAUCUCUACAAAUUUUGUGUGAAACCCGCUGAAGCCUGCAGUGGGUAAAUGGAUUCCUACAACUCUAUUUCCUAGCCCUUUCUUCCCUUCUAGCACCCUCUGAAAUAGCUUUCCUAUCCUUUGGUUUAUUAGAUUUGCCUGAACCUGGCUUUGUAACAUCAUUAUAAAAGUGACAAGACCUCUUCCUGGACAUUAUUGCAGGCUGAUGUGUUGCGUGCAGCUCACUGACUGCUCACAAAAAUACCUCUGUGUAUGAGAAGGAGAGGGAAUAGUGGCCAUUGUAUGGUAAAAGGCCAAGAGAAAAAUGGAACACUGCCCUCAUAGUGGUGUGUGACAAUAGAUCCAUUGUCCUUCAUUAUUAGAUCUCAAAUGCUCCUGUUGAAGGUGACUGGUCAGAAAAUGGAAUUUUCACUCUGCAGAAAACUUGCAAGUUUAGUUUUCAACCCAGCAUAAGUCAAAAUUAAAGACUAGCUGAAGUUUUGGAAAUGUUUUGUCCCUAAAAAAUUGAAAUGGCUUUCUUGAAAUGCUUCAUAAUGGUAACUUGGAACAUUUUGCUCUUAUUUCUGCUGUCAUAAUAAUAGCUAAAAUUAUUCUAUUGAAACAAAAUGAUUGGAAUGUAUCACAAUGAAAUGUAAUUUCCCAGUGAAAGCACUAAUGGAAUUUGAUACUUUCCUGAAAAUCUGCCUGAUUUAAAUAAAAGUAAAAAAAUAAAAAAAAUUAUUGUUG